UCGAACAGACCUAAAUAUUUUAGCUUCUACACCAAAAUUUUAUUUUAAUCCAACAUCGARGUCGCAAUCUUUUCUUUCGAUUUGAACUCUCAAAAAAAAUUACGCUGUUAUCCCUAARGUAAUUUAUUCUUUUAAUCUUAAAAAGGAUCAAAUAAUCAUAAAUUAAUGUAAAUUUACAAAAAAAGUUUUUUAAAUUUUUUGAUCACCCCAACCAAAUUAAUUCUCAUAUUUUAAAACUAUAAAAUCUAAAAUUUUUAAAUAUAAUUAUUAAUAAAACUCUAUAGGGUCUUCUCGUCUUUUAUUUAAAUUUAAGCUUUUUUACUUAAAAAUAAAAUUCUAAAAAAUUUAAAUAGAGACAGUUAUUUUUCCAUCCAACCUUUCAUUCCAGCUUUCAAUUAAAAAACUAUUGAUUAUGCUACCUUUGCACGGUCAGAAUACCGCGGCCAUUUAAAUUCUCAUUGGGCAGGCGAGACCUUAAAUUAUAAUCAAAAG
rnacentral:rRNA from 1 species